CAUUUGGGAACAAACCUCCCGGUUAACUGCCGGAGAGCUGAUAGUACCAGAAGAGGAAGAGACGGCUAACUCUGUGCCAGCAGCCGCGGUAAUACAGAGGUCUCAACCGUUGUUCGGAUUCAUUGGGCGUAAAGGGUGCGUAGGCGGCAGGGUAAGUCAGGUGUGAAAUCUCGGGGCUCAACCCCGAAACUGCACUUGAUACUGCCUUGCUCGAGUACUGGAGAGGAGACUGGAAUUUACGGUGUAGCAGUGAAAUGCGUAGAUAUCGUAAGGAAGACCAGUGGCGAAGGCGAGUCUCUGGACAGUUACUGACGCUGAGGCACGAAGGCCAGGGGAGCAAACGGGAUUAGAUACCCCGGUAGUCCUGGCAGUAAACGGUGCACGUUUGGUGUGGGAGGAUUCGACCCCUUCCGUGCCGGAGCUAACGCGUUAAACGUGCCGCCUGGGAAGUACGGUCGCAAGAUUAAAACUCAAAGAAAUUGACGGGGGCCCGCACAAGCGGUGGAGUAUGUGGCUUAAUUCGAUGCUACGCGAAGAACCUUACCAGGGUUUGACAUGCAUUGUGUCGGGGAUGAAAGUCCCCUAGCUGUAGCAAUACAGCGCUUUGCACAGGUGCUGCAUGGCUGUCGUCAGCUCGUGUCGUGAGAUGUUGGGUUAAGUCCCGCAACGAGCGCAACCCCUGUGUCCUGUUGCCAACCACGCAAGUGGAGCACUCUGGAUAGACUGCCCUGUGAAACGGGGAGGAAGGCGGGGAUGACGUCAAGUCACCAUGGCCCUUACACCCUGGGCUGCACACGUACUACAAUGCUCAGUACAGAACGAGCCGAAGCCGCGAGGCGGAGGAAAUCCCAAAAACUGAGCCCAAUUCGGAUUGCAGGCUGCAACUCGCCUGCAUGAAGCUGGAAUCGCUAGUAAUGCCGUAUCAGCUACGACGGCGUGAAUACGUUCCCGGGCCUUGUACACACCGCCCGUCACAUCAUGGAAGUCACUUGUUCCCGAAGUGCGCACGCUAACCGCAAGGAGGCAGCUCCCUAAGGAAUGGGUGGUAACUGGGAUGAAGUCGUAACAAGGUAGCCGUAGGGGAACCUGCGGCUG
rnacentral:rRNA from 1 species